rnacentral:rRNA from 1 species
UACAGGGGGGGCAAGCGUUGUUCGGAAUUACUGGGCGUAAAGGGCUCGUAGGCGGCCAACUAAGUCACACGUGAAAUCCCCAGGCUUAACCUGGGAACUGCGUGUGAUACUGGAUGGCUUGAAUCCGGGAGAGGGAUGCAGAAUUCCAGGUGUAGCGGUGAAAUGCGUAGAUAUCUGGAGGAAUACCGGUGGCGAAGGCAGAUCUCUGGGCCGUAACUGACGCUGAGGAGCGAAAGCGUGGGGAGCGAACAGG